rnacentral:rRNA from 1 species
AAACCCGGUGAUCUAGCCAUGGGCAGGUUGAAGGUUGGGUAACACUAACUGGAGGACCGAACCGACUAAUGUUGAAAAAUUAGCGGAUGACUUGUGGCUGGGGGUGAAAGGCCAAUCAAACCGGGAGAUAGCUGGUUCUCCCCGAAAGCUAUUUAGGUAGCGCCUCGUGAACUCAUCUUCGGGGGUAGAGCACUGUUUCGGCUAGGGGGCCAUCCCGGCUUACCAAACCGAUGCAAACUCCGAAUACCGAAGAAUGUUAUCACGGGAGACACACGGCGGGUGCUAACGUCCGUCGUGAAGAGGGAAACAACCCAGACCGCCAGCUAAGGUCCCAAAGUCAUGGUUAAGUGGGAAACGAUGUGGGAAGGCACAGACAGCCAGGAUGUUGGCUUAGAAGCAGCCAUCAUUUAAAGAAAGCGUAAUAGCUCACUGGUCGAGUCGGCCUGCGCGGAAGAUGUAACGGGGCUAAACCAUGCACCGAAGCUGCGGCAGCGACGCUUAGGCGUUGUUGGGUAGGGGAGCGUUCUGUAAGCCGUUGAAGGUGGCCUGUGAGGGUUGCUGGAGGUAUCAGAAGUGCGAAUGCUGACAUAAGUAACGAUAAAGCGGGUGAAAAGCCCGCUCGCCGGAAGACCAAGGGUUCCUGUCCAACGUUAAUCGGGGCAGGGUGAGUCGACCCCUAAGGCGAGGCUGAAAAGCGUAGUCGAUGGGAAACAGGUUAAUAUUCCUGUACUUGGUGUUACUGCGAAGGGGGGACGGAGAAGGCUAGGCUGGCCGGGCGACGGUUGUCCCGGUUUAAGCGUGUAGGGGGUGUGA